rnacentral:rRNA from 1 species
AGAGUUUGAUCCUGGCUCAGAGCGAACGUUGGCGGCGUGGAUGAGGCAUGCAAGUCGAACGUGAAAGACUUCGGUCGAGUAAAGUGGCGUAAGGGUGAGUAACACGUAACUAACCUGCCCUCGAGAUGGGGACAACCGCUGGAAACGGCGGCUAAUACCCAAUGACGUAUCUUUGCCAUAAGGCGUUGGUACGAAACGGACGGGAUCCUUCGGGAUCGUCUGCUCUUGGCGGGGGUUGCGGCCUAUCAGCUAGUUGGUGAGGUAACGGCUUACCAAGGCUAUGACGGGUAGCCGGUCUGAGAGGAUGGUCGGCCACACUGGGACUGAGACACUGCCCAGACUCCUACGGGAGGCUGCAGUCGAGAACCUUCCGCAAUGGACGAAAGUCUGACGGAGCGACGCCGCGUGGAGGACGAAGGCCCUCGGGUUGUAAACUCCUGUCGGGACCCAAAGAAAUGGCGGCGGUGAAUAAUCGUCGUCUUGACACUAGGUUCGGAGGAAGCACCGGCUAACUCUGUGCCAGCAGCCGCGGUAAGACAGAGGGUGCAAGCGUUGCUCGGAAUCACUGGGCAUAAAGCGCACGUAGGCGGUCGUGAAAGUGCGGAGUGAAAUCCCCCGGCCCAACCGGGGAACUGCUCCGCAUACUGCACGGCUAGAGCUUGGGAGGGGAGAGUGGAACUCCUGGUGGAGCGGUGGAAUGCGUAGAUAUCAGGAGGAACGCCGGAGGUGAAGACGACUCUCUGGCCCAAUGCUGACGCUAAGGUGCGAAAGCUAGGGGAGCAAACGGGAUUAGAUACCCCGGUAGUCCUAGCCCUAAACGAUGGGCACUAGCUAGGGGGGAUACCUAUUGUCCUCUCUGGCGAAGCAAAUGUGAUAAGUGCCCCGCCUGGGGAGUACGGUCGCAAGGCUAAAACUCAAAGGAAUUGACGGGGGCUCACACAAGCGGUGGAGCAUGUUGUUCAAUUCGAUGCAACGCGAAGAACCUUACCCAGGCCUGAAUGUAGGGAUUAAGCCGUGAAAGCGGUGGAUUGCCUUCGGGUGUAACCUGCACUGGUGUUGCAUGGCUGUCGUCAGCCCGUGUCGUGAGAUGUUGGGUAAAGUCCCGUAACGAGCGAAACCCCUAUUGCUAGUUACCAGCGGGUAACGCCGGGGACUCUAGCGAGACUGCCGUUGUCAAGACGGAGGAAGGUGGGGACGACGUCAAGUCAUCAUGGCCUGUAUGCCUGGGGCCACAAACGUGCUACAAUGGCUGGGACAAAGGGUCGCCAAACCGCAAGGUGGAGCAAAUCCCAAAAACCCAGCCCCAGUUCGGAUUGCAGGCUGCAACUCGCCUGCAUGAAGUUGGAAUCGCUAGUAAUCGCGGGUCAGCUACGCCGCGGUGAAUAUGUUCCUGAGCCUUGUACACACCGCCCGUCAAGCCACGAAAGCUGGGAGCGCCCGAAGUCGCCAGUCCAACCGCAAGGAGGACGGCGCCGAAGGCGAGCUCGGUGAUUGGGACUAAGUCGUAACAAGGUAACC